UACGUAGGGGGCAAGCGUUGUCCGGAAUCAUUGGGCGUAAAGCGCGCGUAGGCGGCCAGAUUAGUCCGGUGUGAAAGUCAGAGGCUCAACCUUUGAAUGCCGCUGGAAACUGUCUGGCUUGAGUCCGGAAGGGGCGAGUGGAAUUCCUGGUGUAGCGGUGAAAUGCGCAGAUAUCAGGAGGAACACCAAUGGCGAAGGCAG
rnacentral:rRNA from 1 species